CUAAGCAAUGGGGGAUGGCUUCCAACAUCAUCAUUAAGCUCCAACAUCAUCAUUAAGCUUUUUGAAUAUUAUUUCCUUCUUUUCUUUAUGUGGGCUCCAUCAUUUUCUUUACAACAAUCCAAAAUUUAAGAUGGUAUUAUGAGCAUGAAAUAUCUAACUCCAACCAUGAAGGUACCGUGACAGUUAGCACUCUAUCUCCCUCUUUCUUUUUCUUUUUUCUAUAGCAAAAGGAGGGCCUAGGGUUUAUGGUACGGGUUGAGUACACUGGUUUACGCCAUUGAAGUUGCUUCAAAGUUGCUACAUUUCUUUAACACCAAGGCAAGGCUUCCUUGAAAAUGACCCUCAUGGCCAAAACUAGACCGGAGAGAAAGGACGUGGAUUCUUACACGAUCAGAGGCAACAACAAAGUCGUCAGAGGUAAAGAAAACGAGAAGGAAAACAAUAUUUUUGAUUUUUUUUUGAUUUUUUUAUUUUGCGGGAAGGGAAAUGUGUUGAAGAAAUGGUGGUUUUGCAGUGGGGGAUUGGGUGCUGAUGGGCCCAUCGGUCACCGGUAAGCCCCCAUGCUUGGCAUGCAUCAAGAAGAUUGAAGCCUAGGACGACUGGAGCAAUGUGAAAGUGAGAGUGAGGUCGUACUAUAGGCCAGAGGAGUCGAUCGGAGGGCGUAGAAAGUUUUAUGGAGCCAAAGAGCUCCUUGUCUGACCUCUAUGAUGAUCGGAGAGCGCUGACACCAUUGAAGGCAAGUGUAGGGUCCACUCUCUUAAGAACUACGCAAAGCUGGAGAAUGUGGGAGCUGAAAAUUACUACUGUAGAUUUGAGUACAAAGUUGAUGCUGGAGAGCUUGCACCAGACAUAGUUGCUGUGUGAGUGUCAUUUGCUUUCUGGUUGCUUUGGUUUUUUUUUUUUUUUUUGGAAGACCUCUCUUAUUGAAAUGAGCGAUAAUAUAUUAAACUCGCACACAUUGUGGACUAGACUUUUCUUGAGGGAGGAAUUGACACUACACUGGUGGGUCCUUGCUGUUGCUUUGAUUUUUAAUUAGUGGAAAUGUGGUGUUUAUGUGGAUAGAAUAUGAUGGGUUUGUUUUUGUCUGUCUGUUUUGAAGGCAUUGCAAGUGUGAGAUGCCGUAUAAUCCGGAUGAACUCAUGUGAAGUGCGAAGGGUGCAGGGAACGGGAAAUGCUUGGAGAGCUUGUUGAUAAUUUAGGUCCUGUAGAUACUCGAGCAACAUCUCCUAUUCAUAGAUCUGUGCCUGCCUUUAUACAGUUAGAAAAAAAAAAUUUCAAGGGAAUUAUCUGGUGGCUACUGAAUCUUGUUUGGAAGAAAUUUGGGUCCUUUUUGCAACAUAAUUUGGCUCUACCUUAUGUAAAUCUUAAAUACCCUAAUAGAUACAUGAUUUUAUUUUACCAUUGACGACGCAUACGUAUAGGUAUCAUCUGCUUGCAUUGGCAUGACCAUUGUAGAAGCAAAAAAAUUGGAAAGCUUUGUUUUGUUCAGAAUGUUCGUCUAAAGAGGAUGUGAUUAAGGCCCCAGAGCCAGAAUGCAUUUUCAGCAUCACCAGAAGCUGAUGCAAAGGAGUCUCUGGCUAGUUUUUCGACUGUGGAGGCCAUGGUCCAGCCUGUUGUCCCAGAAAACUCUUCAGUCCCAGACUUUAGCAAAUUGGAUUUAGAUUCGCUCUGAUCCACAGGAACGAGGAAGUUAGAGGUCCUCCUCCAACUGCAGCUGCCGAAUAAGCCAUGUUUCAAGUGAAAAAAUGGAGAGACGAAGGGUUUUCUGUUGAACAAGGCUAUUAAUCCGUCAAUCAGCUGAUGGAAGAUUUGUGUUUGCUUGCCAAAGAACAGGUGCUGCCUCUACCAUUUCUGGAAGCUAGUGUAACUUUUACAGAGGACUUCCAGGAUCUGGCUGGACAAUGGGCAGCCAUUGAGAAGAACUACAAGGAGGCCGAAGUUUACAAGAACACUUUCAGCACUAGUGUUCGAGACCUGGAGCAAGAGAGGAAAGCUUGUAGUCUCAAGUAUCAACAGCUCCAGCAAGUGAAGACUGAAAUUGUAGCUCGGCUUCAAAAACAGUUGGCUAGCUAGCAAAGAACAAGAACACAAUCAACUCCAUGCUUUUCUGAACUCCGUUGGAUUCCGCCUGGACUCUGCAGAGCCAGAUUGCUAAAGCUAAGCCUGCCUGAUGCCGAAGCUACUCUUUUCAAGGCAGAUGUGUACUCAGAGCUCUCUCAUUUCAAAACAGUUUUUAUCUAGCCUUGAACAUUACUAUAUGCUUGAAUUGUAAAAUUUGAAACAUUUUCAAAAGUGGAACAGAUUUCACUGAACUGCAGCAACUUGGUAUUUUGUAAUUUGAUCAAUGUUGAUGCGAAAAAAUGG